CAGGCCCCAGUUCUCCAUGGCUGCAUACGGAUGCUUCGGCACUGCCAGGAGAUCUGCACACAAUGAGGAAGAUCCAAGCUCAACGACGGGAAAACAGGAAUGAUUGUAAUACAAAUGAACAAAGAUGAUGAUGAAGAUGGCGUGACAAGCUCAUUCAAGAAGCAAAGAACAAUGAAAACAGCAAAGCAAAGACUCAUACGGUAAUUACACGAAUGAUGCUCUUCAAGAGAGAGACAAAACUACCAUGGUAAUCAGAGAUGAACUUCAACUCAACCACCUUCUGUCAGAACUUUCAAAGCUUGAUCGAUACCAGAGGUCUAGACACCUCAAGUCCCAGAACCAGUAAGUAAAUAUGGUAAUCCUUUGGUAUAUAAUAUAUCAAAGUACCUUAACAGUACUUUUUGUAAAGGAAACAAAGAGAGCUUGAGGUAAAGAGACAAACAUGUAAUUUACUACAAUUUUAACUGUAACAAAUAGUCAUUAUAACCAGGUAUAUAUGACCUUCUAUAACACAAAUAAUAGUAUAUUUAUUCAUUAUCACAAGAGCAAGUGUGUUGUUUACCGAAUAUACAAUAAUAUAAAAAAAAAAAAAAAUUGCAAGAGUGAAACUUACUUUGUUUUUGCUUCAUUAACUAAAAAAAAAACAGCUGCACAACUUAGACAUGCAUUCUAACUUACACACAAAGUAGUGCCAUUCCUGAAUGAAUAAUUUUUUUCAACAAAUCAGUUAGUUUUGAGUGAAUGAUUCAAUGAUUCACUCAUAAUGGCAGUCACUUUAUUCGUUCCUGAAUGAAUCAUGCUGCAUCCCAAUUCACCUACUUAUACUAUGCCCUAAAAGUUUGUACUCUUUUUGUGAACAAAAAGUACAUACUUUUGUGUGUAGCAAAAGAGUAGACAAGCUUUGGGACAUACUAUCAUGUCAUACAAUUGCGUCUUUGCUCUCUGUCGCAUUCUGACACGCAUGCUGUCACCAUUUAAAAAAAAAAAAAACUGUCACUGUAAACUGACCUGUCAAUCAUCUUAAAUCCUCCACAUUUCAUUUCAUUUUAUUUCCUACCGUGUCGGCAGUAGCACGUUGAUCUGCAGUCGUGGGUCUUUCAACUCUCAUCAUAUUAAUGCAGAAUGGUGCAUUUAAAAGUUAAUCUUUAUAAAAGUCCACAUUGUUUUUGCAGAUGAAAUAUAACACGAAUAACAUUAAAUAAAUAUUUUUAUCAGGUUAAACUGAUUAGUCGCUCAAACCUUUAUUUAAACCUCUCACUGUCGGUCGUGCAUAUCUGCCAUGUUUUGUAGUAUUUUAACACUUUUUUUCUCAUGUUUGUAGUUCUGAAUUGAAUCCUCCAAAGCGAAAGGGUUGUGGGCAAUAUUAGCCUUUAUACUUCGAAAAUCUACCAGAAAAAGUAGACCAUCCGGGAUGUAGACCAUAUUUAGGAUGGAUAGUAUGGACAUUGGGAAGCAGGAUCAGUGUUUUAAACAAAUCGCCUGAGUGAACGAUUCAAUGACUCACCCAUAAUGGCAGUCACUUUAUUCGUUCCUGAAUGAAUCAGUGUUUAAAAACAAAUUAGUUGAGUGAAUGAUUCAAUGAUUCACUCAUAA